AUUUCAUUAAAUAACUAGUUUGCUUCUACGCUCUAAAUCGACAUUGGAAAUUCAGUAUUUUAGGUAAUCAUCUAUCUUAUCGUAGUUUUUGCGACGACAAUUGUCGGGAGUUUUUCGAGUUUUUAGUGGAUUGUUAUAAUUCUAAUGUUCAAAAUACACAAUUAAUACCGUUCUAAUAGUAAAACCGAAAUUUUUCAUUGUAUUUUGUUUAUUACACAUAAUCUCUCCUAUACAUAUUUGUUUAUAUUUAUAUUCACGAUAGUUCGUAAUUUUUUAAGUGACUUGAUAGUUUUUUCAUCAUUAAAUAAAAAUGAAUAAUAUUUUGUCAAAAAUAAUUAAAAAUAAACGCGAAUUAAUUGAAAAGAAAUUUGUAAAAUUUUCUCCUUUAAAUGUAACUUUGUUAACAUUUGAUGAAGCUCGAGUUCAACUUGAGUUAUUGGAGCAAGCAUUCAAACUUUAUAAUGAGGCUCAUGAAUGUGUUACUAUACAAAAUGAAAUAGAUGACAAUACGAGAUCAUCAUAUAUAAAUGAAUUAGAGAAUUUAAGCGAAAAAUACAUGACGGUAAAAGCGAAUUUAACUAGUCAUAUUCGUUACUUAAAUUUUAAUUCACAAAAUCAAGAAGUGGCUUUAAUAAAUGAUUUAUCACAGCAAACAAUAAUGUUACCACUUUAUGAUACACCAGCCGGCAAUAGUGAUACGGAUAAUAGGACUUCAUUCAGAGGUCAAUUAGAAAAUAUACUUAAAAACAAAAAUUUAAACGACACAAUUAAAAUGUAUUACCUAAGAAGAAAUUUGUCUGGUUCUUCUUUUAAAGUACUUGACUCGCAAUUAACUAUAGGUCAAAAUUAUCUAGAAGCUUUGGAAUCAUUAAAUCAGAAAUAUGAUGAUAAAAAAAUUGCAACACAAAUGCAUGUUAAAACGUUGCUAAUGCAACCUUGUGUUCCCGUUGAAUCCGUUUCUGGAUUAAAAUCAUUAAUGGACUGUACUGAUAAUCAACUUAAAACGUUAUCCAAAUUGGGUCGUCCAGUUCAGUUUUGGGAUGACCUAAUAGUUAACAUUAUAUCUUCAAAAUUACCAAUCAAAUUAAAAGAGUCUUGGGAAAUUGAAGUAGCUUCUUAUGCAGAAAUGCCUAGUUGGAAUUCAUUAAAACAAUUCUUAGAACAAAAAAUACAGAUUUUGGAUAAUCAUUGCCAUUUGAAGACAAGUUGUAUGUUACACGGUAAGGUUCCUGGUGUUCAUUUAAAUACGCCAAGCUUACAAAAAGACAACAGAAGUUCUUCAAAAAUUAGUACAAACAAUGAUCUUAGCUUGAACGAGUAUUCUACUACAACACAAUCAGAACCAGUAAAGAUCACACCACAUUCUCAACUUCAUCAAUCAUUUGUUAUAUCUUCACUGUCUCCUGAUUAUAAAUCACUGGACACAAAAAUUCCAGCCAUCAAAAUUACUGAACCAGAAACUGAUAAUGAUAAACAUUUAGAUAUUAAGCAACAAAAAAGUCCUAGCAGUUCUUCUGCGAAUUCAAAACAUGCUGUUUCAACUCAGGAUUCGAAACAAACGCGACAGAUACAAUUAAAAAUAUUGGAAAAUAAUGCAAAAUUCAAAUGUCAUAAGUUCCUUGUCAACCUACUGGAUCUUUCAAGUAAAGAACCAAAACCUAUCGGAAGUACUGUACAAAGAUUAGUUCAAGACUUAGUUGAUGCUAAAAUAGAGUCAGAACAGUUUUGUGAUAAACUUUAUAAGCUUUUAAAUGCUUCACCGCAGCCAUCCCUAAUUGAUUUUCUUGAGAAAAGUUUACCUAUCCUUAGAAAGUCAUUAAUAUACCAAGAAAUGAUGAUUAGAGGUAUACAGCCACCACAACAUGAAGUAGCGAUUAAACAUAAAGAAAUAAUGGCUGACCAACAGAAACCUUAAUAAACACAGAGAUAUGUGUAAUGUUUAUGAUGCACUUACAAACCUAACUUUUCUAAAUAAAUGGUAAGGCAUUCAUAAGAUUUUAGAAUUUACCGUGUUCGAGUAUGUUUGAUUUUCACCAUAUAUAAAAACAAAGUUAAUUAUUAAAGCUGACAAAAAAUUUCAAAUGACUUUAAACCGAUCAUAUAGACUAAGGAAAGUGGAUAUAACAAUGUGAAUAGUUCAAGUGACUGUGACAUAAUAUAUAUUUAAUACAAUCCUUUUAGCUAUUGUUACUUUUAUCUAACAAUGUAUCAACUUUGUUUGACGUUGUAAUUUACAGACGUACUUUUACGUAUUAUG